rnacentral:rRNA from 1 species
GACCUGAUCAUGUUGUACCAUUUGCGGUUCCUCCUGUUCUGUUAUCAUAGGUUCAGCAACAGGAGGUGCCACUUCUGGCUUAUUGACCUGAUCAUGUUGUACCAUUUGCAGUUCCUCCUGCUCUGUUAUCCUAGGUUCAGCAACAGGAGGUGCCACUUCUGGCUUAUUGACUUGAUCUGGUUGUACCAUUUGCCGUUUCUCCUGCUCUUCUAUGCAAGGUUCAGAGAUAGGAGGUGCCACUUCUGGCUUAUUGAUCUGACCAUGUUGUACAGUUUGCUGUUCCUCCUGCUCUUUUAUUCCGGUUUCAGCAAUAGGAGGUGCCAUUUCUGGCUUAUCGACCUGAUCAUGUUGCACCAUUUGCUGUUCAUCCUGACCUUUUAUUCCAGGUUCAGGAAUAUGUGCCAUUUCUGACUUCUUGACCUGAUCAUGUUGCACCGUUUGCUGCUCAUCCAGCCCUUUUGUCCCAGAUUCAGCAAUAGGAGGUGCCAAUUCUGGCUUAUUCACCUGAUCAUGUUGCACCGUUUCCUGUUCAUCCUGCUCUUUAAUUCCAGAUUCAGAAAUAGGAGGUGCCACUUCUGGCUUAUUCACUUGCACCGUUUGCUGUUCAUCCUGCUCUUUUAUUCCAGAUUCAGCAAUAGGAGGUGCCACUUCUGGCUUACUGACUUGAUCACAUUGCACCAGUUGCUGAUCCUCUUGCUCUUCUAUUUUUUCUCCUACAUUACCCUUCAACUCUUUAGAAGAGCUCACUUUACUAUGUUCAGUUUUCACUUUCUGUUCCUCCUGCUCCUCUGUUUUCUUGCUUCCACUACCCUUCAACUCUUGCGAAGGGUUCACUCUACUAUGUUCAGUUUCCAUUUUCUGUAUUUCCUGCCCUUUUGUUUUCUCACUUCCACUACCCUUCAUCUCUUGAGAAGGGUUCACUUUACUAUGUUCAGUUUUCACUUUCCGUUCCUCCUGCUCCUUUGUUUUCUCGCUUCCACUACCCUUCAACUCCUGAGAAGGGUUCACUUU